CAUGCGCAGCGGACUGAGCUUCUCGUCGCAAAUGUCAGCGACGCGGACAAACAGUGACAGACUCUAUCAGCGGUUCAGUGCGGGGACGAGAAAUGAGCGAUUUCCACCGCUGUGACGUUCAUUCUCAAUAAUAAAAAAACAAGCUUUGAGCGGAAGGAAUUGACGCAGACAUGGAGCAGGAGUUUGAGGACAUAGAUUCAGAGGGCCGCUGGCAGAACCUUUAUUUAGAAAUACGCAACCAAUCACACGAAUGUGCUUUUAAAGUGGCCAAGUAUCCAGAGAAUCGCAAUCGGAACAGAUACAGAGAUGUCAGCCCGUUUGACCACAGUCGAGUGAAAUUAGAAAACACAGAAAAUGACUACAUCAAUGCCAGCCUGGUGGUGAUGGAGGAAGCCCAGAGAAGAUACAUACUUACCCAGGGUCCUCUGAGAAACACCUGUGGUCACUUUUGGCUCAUGAUCUGGGAGCAGAAGACCAAAGCUGUUAUAAUGCUCAACAGAGUAAUAGAGAAAGGCUCGGAAAAGUGUGCACAAUAUUGGCCGACUCAAGAAGAACGAGAGAUGUCGUUCCGUGACACCCGCUUUGAGGUAACGCUAGUGUCUGAGGACGUGAAGUCAUAUUACACCACCAGAGUGCUGGAACUCCAGAACGCAAAUACGGGGGAGACGAGACAGAUCUAUCACUUUCACUAUACCACAUGGCCUGACUUUGGCGUCCCAGAAUCCCCAGCCAGCUUCCUCAAUUUCCUGUUUAAGGUGCGGGAGUCUGGCUCGCUGGGGAUGGACCAGGGUCCAGCAGUCGUCCACUGCAGUGCAGGAAUCGGCCGAUCGGGGACGUUCUCUUUGGUCGACACUUGUCUCGUCAUGAUGGACAAAAGGAAAGACCCGCUGGUUGUGGACAUCAAAAAGAUUCUCCUAGACAUGAGGAAGUAUAGGAUGGGUUUGAUUCAGACCCCCGACCAGCUGCGUUUCUCGUACAUGGCUGUGCUGGAAGGUGCCAAGUACAUUAUGGGAGACUCAUCUGUGCAGAAACAGUGGCGAGAGCUCUCCAGAGAGGACCAGGAGCCCCUGUCCGAGUCCCCCCCGCCUCCACAGCCUCCUAAAUGCACAGAACGCUACAACGGCAGCAAACCGUCUCGUCUGGAGGACGCGGUGGACCCGAAGACGGCGAAGAAAACCGGCUUGGAGACACCCAAUAAAGAAGCAGACAGAGAUGCUGGAGCGAAUGCUCGCAAAAGGCAUAGAGAUGAGAAGAUUUCCAACCCCACGCAGAAGACUCAGAAGCAGACAAAACCCAGGAUCAACGACCCUGAUAAGAAAAGAAAAAGCCUGGGCUGUAUUUGCUGUACGUGACACAGCGAGCGCUGCCCUGUUGGGAAACCUCCCCAAUGAGGCAGCAGUGGCGCAUCUGCAGGAUUUUUGUAAAGACGAGUUUGUCCCGGGCUCCUCUGAAUCCUCCGGCUAGCGAGAACAACCAGUGACUCCUAACUCCAUGGCAGCCUCAGCAAGCGAUCUCCAUCCCAUAAUGCUCUCCACCUCUGUGUUUUCAGAAGUCGUUUACAGCAUGAACUCUUCGACAAAGUUCCUCCACUCUGAACAACAGCACACACCAGCACUAUACCUGUGGAGGAAACUCGGUAAUAUCACAAGGACAGCAUCGCAGCGCCAUGGUUUGGAUCGGUUUUAAUUUCGUUGGACCUAUUUUGUGUCUUUUUUUUUUUUUUUCGCUUUUUGUUUUGUCGGAAAAAGCAGCAGGAUCUGAAGUAGGUCUAUGCAUUUCUAAUGCUGUUCACACAUUGUAUUUUUAGACAACUUUUUUUCAGAGGCAAAAUGAAAAUGCUCUAUUUUUUAUAUGAAAUUACUUGAAAUUUCCUAUCAUAUCUACAGGGCUUUAUGCUCAAAUCCAGCUUGUGAGAUUGUUAGAUGACGUCUUAUGCUGAAGAGUGCUCACAUUGUGUACAUAGUGUACCUUACGAGAUGUAAAAACAAAAACAUUUGUACAAAAUGAUGAACAGGCGUUGCAUUUGGUCGAGACACACAGAACAAACCAGCAGUGUCUGAGUGUUGAAGAGUCUUACUUUUCUUUAUCCAAGAGUAGGAUCCAUGAAUAAAACUGCUAUCAUUUAGUUUCUGUAA